UACCAGCUCUCCGAGUGGUAGGGAUGUUUAUUGGGCUUAAAGCGUCCGUAGCCGGCUUAGCAAGUCUCCUGUUAAAUUCAGCGACCUAAUCGUUGAGCCGCGGGAGAUACUACUAGGCUAGGAGGCGGGAGAGGUCAACGGUACUUCCGGGGUAGGGGUGAAAUCCUAUAAUCCCGGGAGGACCACCAGUGGCGAAGGCUGUUGACUAGAACGCGCUCGACGGUGAGGGACGAAAGCUGGGGGAGCGAACCGGAUUAGAUACCCGGGUAGUCCCAGCUGUAAACUAUGCGGGCUAGGUGUUGGGGUGGGCUACGGGCCACUUCAGUGCCGCAGGAAAGCCAUUAAGCCCGCCGCCUGGGGAGUACGGCCGCAAGGCUGAAACUUAAAGGAAUUGGCGGGGGAGCACCACAAGGCGUGAAGCUUGCGGUUC
rnacentral:rRNA from 1 species